AAUUCAGCCAAUGGUUGGUUGAGAAGUGUGCGGGUAAUUGGUGCUAUGGUUAUCUGCAAGACUAUCUUUUUAU
rnacentral:ncRNA from 1 species